CGCUCCCUUUGCGCACACACACGGUUUCCACACGUCUAUCUGUUUCUGUUUAAGUGUGAGAUAACGAUGGGCGGGUGCUUCCACAGAAGAGGUAGGAGGCGCCGACUGCCGAGAAGCAGCGUGAAAGCAAAGCGCCAAGAGAGCUAUGUGCGUGCGUGUGCGUGUGUGUGUUGUGCGUGUGUGUGCGUGCGUGAGUGUGCGUGCAUGUGUGUAUGUGCGUGCGUGAGUGUGCGUGCGUGUGCGUGCGUGAGUGUGCGUGUGUGUGUGUGUGUGUGUGCGUGCGUGCGUGAGUGUGCGUGCGUGUGCGUGCGUGAGUGUGCGUGUGUGUGUGUGUGUGUGUGCGUGUGCGUGUAUCUGCGGGGGGAUGAAGGCGGUGAGGCCUUCCGAACCCUUAACAAGAACAAACCCCACAAGGACCUGUUCUCUGUGAAUGACAGAAAGUGUUGCUUAGUUUCAGUGGAAUCGCAUUUGACACCGCUUGCUGAGCGCACACAGAUGAGUCACAGCGAUAAAGCCAGUUGAAAAGUUUGCAGUGACAGGGUGUUAUUUUACUGCAACAUAAAACAGAGUUUUUGCACGUGGUUAUGUGGCCCGGGGCCGCCACUUCCUGGAGCCGUGUUGUCAUCAGCUUCCUCCUUCUUGGAACGACUCUGCCAGGAAAGAGAGUUUUGCCCUUUUUAAAAAAUUGUUCCUG
ensembl:lncRNA